ACAUACUGAUCAAUGAGUGCGCUGCCUUGUUGUAAACAAACUCAGCAAGAGGUAUGAGAUCAGUCCAGUUGUCUUGCUGAGCACCAGACAUAUGGCCAUUUCUGACACCGGUCCUCUACUUGCAGCGAUGCCUGUCAGCUUCCACCAGAGAGCAGAGCAGCUCUAUUACCCAAGUCUUUUACGCUGUGGAAAUCAGGGGAGACAGCGAGCGACACAGCCAGAUCCUGGCCAAACAACAUGGAUUGCAGUUCAUUUCAAAGAUCCUAGGAUGGCAGAGCUGAUACAUCUUUACAUUUUUCACUUACCAUCCAUUUGCAUCUGUAUGAACAGAGGAAGAAAUAAGUGGAAGAACCAGUGCCAAGCCUUGAAAUAUGGGAGGGAUUAAAACCUUCAACAGUUGCAGAGCCUCAGAUUUGUAAACAAGUCAGUGAAACGAAGCCAUGUUGCCUAGAUUCAACUCUUCUUAAGGUUUAGGAAGACUGUGAUGGAGAACAUUCCAAAAUUCAUCAUCCCUCCUCUGAGUUCUCCCUGAUCCAAGGACAGCCAUCUGCCAGACUGUUCAGUUACACAAUAUUUCCUCUCAGUGCGGGUUUACUCUCAAUCAACAGGUGCCAGGAGCUAUUUAGGGCAAUGGCUGUUUAAGGGUUCAGGCAGCUCCUCAAAAAAGGAUGGACUUAAUGACAGGAGGAGGGUCAUCAGCCUUCUUAAAGCUGUGUCAUUCCUGGAAAUAACAGGAAGAGGAGUUCAGCAACACCUACUGCAGUGUCUUUUCAAAAUCAUGAUAGUCCCAGCUACCUUCUUGAUCUUGAACAGUUAUUUAUAGAGUAGUUCUAUUUGUAAUAGUGUACAAUUUCCAAUGAUGAGUAUUUACAUUAUAUUAGAAUUGUUUUGCAAUCAUAAAGGCUUGGUUUGCCAUACCCAUCCUUGAAGAUUAUCAGUAACCAUACUAAACCUUGUUACAUGUUGUAGGUGAAUGUAUAUUUACAAACAGUGUAAAUGAGUCAAACUCACAUUCGCAAGCUUAUAAGCAGGUAUAAGAAUCAAAGUCCAGUUGCUAAUUAUAAUGUGUAAGCCUUGUCAAAAUCUGUAGUUUUGAGUCCUUGUUGCAAAACUAAACUUGGUUGCAAAACUACCUUUGCUAGUAUAGCAUAUAUGAAAUGGCCCUUAGUUAUAAUUAUCAGUUAUAUGAAUGUGUCUACAUGAAAAUUUAAAUACUACAGAAUUUGACCAGACUUAGAACUUCUAUUUUGAUUAAGUU